UUCAAGUUUUUAGAACUAUGUACAUAUCUACUUUAAAUGAAUUAAACAUAGAAUUUUAAUCAAACUUAUAAUAAACAUUAAAAUUAAAGAAAGAUUAGAAACAAAAAAAAUCUGUCGAUGUACAACAAGAUAUAGAACCAAAAUACUACCAAAAUAAACUUUACUGUCCAAAGUGAAAAUAAAGUAAAACAACUAAAAGAAAAAAUUCCUAUUGGUUAGUUCAUAAGCACAAGGAUUGAGCUUUUCACCGUCAGAUGACGGGAUCCUCAUCCAAUGGACCAAAAUUAUUUUUUUAUUCAGUUCUGGAAUUUUUUGAGCAAACAGAUCUCAUAUCUUUCGACACAUUCUCUUAGACAACUUCAUCUCCUCAUCUCUUUCUCCUUAGGCUUUAUUCACUACUAGCCCCCUCAUUCUCUUUGCCAAUCUCUGCUCCAUUUCUCUCUACCCUCGCGAGAUCUCUGCUCCAUGACUCAUCUUCUCUCCCUUUGUCGAUUUAUCUUUUCUUCAUCUUCUUCUCUCUUAUCAAGAAUACUAGAUCUAGAAGCAGAGGCUAAGCAUCGAUGUUUCUCACGAUACUGACAAAUCUCAUUCCGCCGCGAGACGCGGCUGAGGUGGUCGACGACUCCGACACUCGCGGUGGUCGCGAGCAGAGAUGGUGGUGCGGCGGGUGAGGACUGGAAGAUGAAGAAGACAACGAAGUGCAUGGAUUGAUGCGA